rnacentral:tRNA from 1 species
GCCUUCGUGGUGUAGUGGUCAGCACGAUAGACUCGAAUUCGAAAGGUCUGUGGUUCGAGUCCCGGCGAGGGCA